CAUCUGUAUGUGGUCCAGAUUCCAACUGCACAAAUGAAAUUGGAAAUUAUAAUUGCUCAUGUCUGGAUGGAUUCACUGUAACAAACUCAAGUCUCCCCAUCAGCAUCAAUAGCACAUGUAGAGAUGUGAAUGAAUGUGUUGAGAUAUCAGAUGUCUGUGGUCCAAAACUCAAUCUGCAACAACACUGUUGGGAGUUACAAUUGCUGGUGCAUGAGUGGAUAUAAUGUAACAGACCCAAACCUCCCUAUAAACAGCAAUAACACAUGCAAAGAUAUAAAUGAAUGUCUGUUCAGUCCAUCUGUAUGUGGUCCAGAUUCCAACUGCACAAAUGAAAUUGGAAGUUAUAAUUGCUCAUGUCUGGAUGGAUUCACUGUAACAAACUCAAGUCUCCCCAUCAGCAUCAAUAACGCAUGUAGA